CCUACGGGAGGCAGCAGUGGGGAAUUUUGGACAAUGGGGGAAACCCUGAUCCAGCCAUCCCGCGUGUAUGAUGAAGGCCUUCGGGUUGUAAAGUACUUUUGGCAGAGAAGAAAAGGUAUCCCCUAAUACGGGGUACUGCUGACGGUAUCUGCAGAAUAAGCACCGGCUAACUACGUGCCAGCAGCCGCGGUAAUACGUAGGGUGCAAGCGUUAAUCGGAAUUACUGGGCGUAAAGCGUGUGUAGGCGGUUCGGAAAGAAAGAUGUGAAAUCCCAGGGCUCAACCUUGGAACUGCAUUUUUAACUGCCGAGCUAGAGUAUGUCAGAGGGGGGUAGAAUUCCACGUGUAGCAGUGAAAUGCGUAGAUAUGUGGAGGAAUACCGAUGGCGAAGGCAGCCCCCUGGGAUAAUACUGACGCUCAGACACGAAAGCGUGGGGAGCAAACAGGAUUAGAUACCCUGGUAGUCCACGCCCUAAACGAUGUCAACUAGCUGUUGGGGCCGUUAGGCCUUAGUAGCGCAGCUAACGCGUGAAGUUGACCGCCUGGGGAGUACGGUCGCAAGAUUAAAACUCAAAGGAAUUGACG
rnacentral:rRNA from 1 species